GGAGAGAUGGCAGAGUGGUCGAAUGCACUGGUCUUGAAAACCAGCGUACCGAGAGGUACCGGGGGUUCGAAUCCCUCUCUCUCCGC
rnacentral:tRNA from 1 species